rnacentral:rRNA from 1 species
ACAUCCAGAGAACUUGGCAGAGAUGCCUUGGUGCCUUCGGGACCUCUGAGACAGGUGCUGCAUGGCUGUCGUCAGCUCGUGUUGUGAAAUGUUGGGUUAAGUCCCGNAACGAGCGCAACCCCUAUCCUUUGUUGCCAGCGAUUGGUCGGGAACUCAAAGGAGACUGCCGGUGAUAAACCGGAGGAAGGUGGGGAUGACGUCAAGUCAUCAUGGCCCUUACGAGUAGGGCUACACACGUGCUACAAUGGCGCAUACAAAGAGAAGCGACCUCGCGAGAGCAAGCGGACCUCAUAAAGUGCGUCGUAGUCCGGAUCGGAGUCUGCAACUCGACUCCGUGAAGUCGGAAUCGCUAGUAAUCGUAGAUCAGAAUGCUACGGUGAAUACGUUCCCGGGCCUUGUACACACCGCCCGUCACACCAUGGGAGUGGGUUGCAAAAGAAGUAGAUAGCUUAACCUUCGGGAGGGCGUUUACCACUUUGUGAUUCAUGACUGGGGUGAAGUCGUAACAAGGUAGGCGUAGCGAG